rnacentral:rRNA from 1 species
GACGAACGCUGGCGGCGUGCUUAACACAUGCAAGUCGAACGGAAAGGCCCUGCUUUUGUGGGGUGCUCGAGUGGCGAACGGGUGAGUAACACGUGAGUAACCUGCCCUUGACUUUGGGAUAACUUCAGGAAACUGGGGCUAAUACCGGAUAGGAGCUCCUGCUGCAUGGUGGGGGUUGGAAAGUUUCGGCGGUUGGGGAUGGACUCGCUGGUUAUCAGCUUGUUGGUGGGGUAGUGGCUUACCAAGGCUUUGAAGGGUAGCCGGCCUGAGAGGGCGACCGGCCACAUUGGGACUGAGGUACGGCGCAGACUCCUACGGGAGGCAGCAGUGGGGAAUAUUGCACAAUGGGCGGAAGCCUGAUGCAGCAACGCCGCGUGCGGGAUGACGGCCUUCGGGUUGUAAACCGCUUUCGCCUGUGACGAAGCGUGAGUGACGGUAAUGGGUAAAGAAGCACCGGCUAACUACGUG